rnacentral:rRNA from 1 species
CAGUCGCCGCGGUAAUACGAGGGGGGCAAGCGUUGUUCGGAAUUAUUGGGCGUAAAGGGCUCGCAGGCGGUUUCUUAAGUCUGAUGUGAAAGCCCCCGGCUCAACCGGGGAGGGUCAUUGGAAACUGGGAAACUUGAGUGCAGAAGAGGAGAGUGGAAUUCCACGUGUAGCGGUGAAAUGCGUAGAGAUGUGGAGGAACACCAGUGGCGAAGGCGACUCUCUGGUCUGUAACUGACGCUGAGGAGCGAAAGCGUGGGGAGCGAACAGGAUUAGAUACCCGGGUAGUCCCUGUCUCUUAUAC